rnacentral:lncRNA from 1 species
CUGCAUUGGAUAUGCAAUAUUUUAUUAUGUUAGACUUAAAUAUCUCCUUAGGGUAUUACAUUAUGGAAUGUGAUGAACUUAUCGAACAAAUGCUCCAAGAUGGGCCAGAACCUAUGGUAGAUAAAUCUUUAGAUAAACAUAGAGAAAGACUCACGGCUUUGGUAGCCGGUAGAAAAUGUUCCCAAAAUUUGGGCGAAAAUUAUACCACUGAAAAAAUUGAUAACAUGACCGAUGAAGAAAUGAAAAAACUGUACGCACGUUACGAGUCUAGACUGGGAACUACCAUGACUAAAACAAUAGGUUUGGAUAUGUUACAACUAUUCACAGUCGUAGCUAGUAUGUUUCUUCCUAUCCCGGCAGAAAUCGCAUGUAUUUAUGCAAAUCUCUAGAGAAAGACCCAUUCAUAAACACACUUUAAGCGCAGUAAGCUGUGAGUUUUAUCAUAGAUACGGAAUGUUCUUAGCGUUCAGUUAGAGUUAAGCCCUCAAGUAAUGUUAUAAAGCAAUGACUACUCCAGUUACAGAUGGUAAAAUGUUGGUAAACGCAACGUAUCAUUCAGCGGUGGUCAGCGGUGGUCAGCGGUGGUCAGCAGCUUGGCCAUUGGCUUGGCCAGUGGCUAUGCCCGUAUAGCUAUAAUGAUUACUAAAGCCACACCACCCAAGCUAGAUUUUAAUGGUUAUGAUAUCGGUAUGAUGGUUCUAGAUGUAGGCCUAGCAAUGGCGACAAAAGAUAUGCUAAUCAAACAAGGGCUUAUCCCAGAAGACAUAAUGAAGUAAUUAAACAUUUGAAAAUUUUUCAUAUAUAGUAUGGCAUCAAAUGUGAUGAUGGUCGGUGGAGCUAAUAGAGUCGCUGAUAGGGUCAGGAAGCAGAUUAUUUAUGCUAGGAAGACAGAUUACAUCAAUGAGAGGAAUAGGUUUGGGAGAAUGUGUUUAGAUAUAUGGAAAUAUAACCAUUUAGACAUUUGACUCAUUUUGUAUAUACCAUUAACCCUUUCGCCCCGACUGCCCGAUUUAUCGGGCAGCAUAAACCGUGUCCCAGUACCUGGCUGCCCGAAAAAUCGGGCGGCUACUGUCCAAGCCCCACACAUGGCUGCCCGAUAAAUCGGGCGGCACGACCGUGUUUACAAAAUCGCUCUUUCUACUUCCUUUCUCGUGUGUCAUUCAAUGGAAUUUCCGAGUCUUUUUGGCGCAAAAAUCGCGAAUGUCUGCUGUUUUCGCGACAGGUAUUUUUCUCGCUUGAAUCGUAAAUCUAGCGUAAUGGCGGCCAGCUACGAUUCGGAUAGCGAUCAGAUGACUAACAACGACUCUAUCGGGAAUAAUAAUGUGUUUGAUUUGAAUAAUUUACGCGAAGGGGAGAGGGAAUUUCGCGGAUAUUUUCGUGAAGAUUUUGACGGUUUCGACGAGGUGUCCCCCCCCCGCCAACUUUCAAGAAUGGGAGUGGCAGAGGGACCACAACGGUGGAGACAUGAGGGAUUUUGAAGAGGCGACCGGACUCAAGAAUAUAUAUUGACACGUUGAGUGAAGUAUCGUGCUAUUGAUUUUUUCCAACUGUUUUACAAUGAUUCUGUGUUUGAACAGAUUAUCAGUGCGAUGAAUGAGAAUGCAGCCUACACGUGAACGAGCGAUCACAACAACAACAAAGAUCAAUCUGUGAUAUCUUCUCUGUGAUGUCAUUCUUAUAGUAGCUGUGGUUCAAUGUUCAGAUGUGCAUGAAGAGAAUUUACCUGUAAUACCUGGGAUUACCUGUGCCGUC